rnacentral:rRNA from 1 species
CCUACGGGCGGCAGCAGUGAGGAAUAUUGGUCAAUGGCCGGGAGGCUGAACCAGCCAAGUAGCGUGAGGGAAGACGGCCCUACGGGUUGUAAACCUCUUUUGUCAAGGAAUAAGGUGAGGCUCGGGACCCGCUUUGUGUGUACUUUAUGAAUAAGCAUCGGCUAACUCCGUGCCAGCAGCCGCGGUAAUACGGAGGAUCCGAGCGUUAUCCGGAUUUAUUGGGUUUAAAGGGUGCGUAGAUGGGUUGUAAAGUCAGUUGUGAAAGUUUGCGGCUCAACCGUAGAAUUGCAAUUGAUACUGGCAGUCUUGAGUACAGUUGAGGUAGGCGGAAUGCGUGGUGUAGCGGUGAAAUGCUUAGAUAUCACGAAGAACUCCGAUUGCGAAGGCAGCUUACUAAACUGCCACUGACAUUGAUGCUCGAAAGUGUGGGUAUCAAACAGGAUUAGAUACCCUAGUAGUC